AGGAUAUCUCGUAACCUUGAAAUUCCGUCCCGCUCAGCGGGAUGCGACAAUCCACGAGAUGGCUGAAAAUAACUGCCAAAACAAAUCUAACUCCUGCUUUAGCUUUUGCUUAAGCAGGUCCCCCCUCCGAAGUUUUAACGUAGGAGGGCAUCGGCUGUCUGAUGUCUAAUAGGGCAAUACCGGUGUCAACCAUUAGGCUUUAAUCCGGAAAUUCUUCGAUUCGGAUGGAACUAAAGAAGAAAUAGGAAUCUUUUAUUUUGGCUGUUUUAUAAGAAAGGUUUCUAAAACGCUAAAUAGCAUAUCGCCUGUAGAUAUAUUUAAUUGCUAAAUUCUAGAUGCGAGUUCAACUCUCGCCACUUCCAUCA
rnacentral:tmRNA from 1 species